CCUACGUGAGGCAGCAGUUGGGAAUCUUGCACAAUGGGGGAAACCCUGAUGCAGCGACGCCGCGUGAGUGAAGAAGUAAUUCGUUAUGUAAAGCUCUAUCAGCAGGGAAGAAAAUGACGGUACCUGAGUAAGAAGCCCCGGCUAACUACGUGCACGCAGCCGCGGUAAUACGUAGGGGGCAAGCGUUAUCCGGAUUUACUGGGUGUAAAGGGAGCGUAGACGGCAGUGCAAGUCUGGAGUGCAAGGCGGGGGCUCAACCCCCGGACUGCUCUGGAAACUGUACGGCUGGAGUGCAGGAGAGGUAAGUGGAAUUCCUAGUGUAGCGGUGAAAUGCGUAGAUAUUAGGAGGAACACCAGUGGCGAAGGCGGCUUACUGGACUGUAACUGACGUUGAGGCUCGAAAGCGUGGGGAGCAAACAGGAUUAGAUACCCGGGUAGUC
rnacentral:rRNA from 1 species